rnacentral:rRNA from 1 species
GGGGUGAUGGCCUACCAAGGCGACGACGGGUAGCCGGCCUGAGAGGGUGAUCGGCCACAUUGGGACUGAGAUACGGCCCAGACUCCUACGGGAGGCAGCAGUGGGGAAUAUUGCACAAUGGGCGGAAGCCUGAUGCAGCGACGCCGCGUGAGGGAUGACGGCCUUCGGGUUGUAAACCUCUUUCAGCAGGGACGAAGCGUAAGUGACGGUACCUGCAGAAGAAGCACCGGCUAACUACGUGCCAGCAGCCGCGGUAAUACGUAGGGUGCGAGCGUUGUCCGGAAUUACUGGGCGUAAAGAGCUCGUAGGCGGUUUGUCACGUCGUCUGUGAAAACCCGGGGCUCAACUUCGGGCUUGCAGGCGAUACGGGCAGACUUGAGUGUUUCAGGGGAGACUGGAAUUCCUGGUGUAGCGGUGAAAUGCGCAGAUAUCANGAGGAACACCGGUGGCGAAGGCGGGUCUCUGGGAAACAACUGACGCUGAGGAACGAAAGCGUGGGUAGCAAACAGGAUUAGAUACCCUGGUAGUCCACGCCGUAAACGGUGGGCGCUA